CCCUUAGAGUUUGAUCCUGGCUCAGGACGAACGCUGGCGGCGUGCUUAACACAUGCAAGUCGAACGGGCCUUAACGAAUAGAUUACUAUGAGCUAAGGUUAGUGGCGGACGGGUGAGUAACACGUGGAUAACCUACCUGACACAUCGGGAUAACACCGUGAAAACAGUGCUAAUACCGGAUACGUUCUUUAGGGCGCAUGGUCUAAAGAAGAAAGGGGGAACCCGGUGACAGAUGGGUCCGCGUCCCAUUAGCUAGUUGGAGGUGUAAAGGACCCCCAAGGCGACGAUGGGUAGCCGGCCUGAGAGGGUGGACGGCCACACUGGAACUGAGACACGGUCCAGACUCCUACGGGAGGCAGCAGUGGGGAAUCUUCCGCAAUGGGCGCAAGCCUGACGGAGCAACGCCGCGUGAGUGAUGAAGGCUUUCGGGUUGUAAAACUCUGUCUUCAGGGAAGAAACAAAUGACGGUACCUGAGGAGGAAGCCCCGGCUAACUACGUGCCAGCAGCCGCGGUAAAACGUAGGGGGCGAGCGUUGUCCGGAAUUACUGGGCGUAAAGGGCGCGUAGGCGGUUUUUCAAGUCAGGGGUGAAAACUCUGGGCUCAACUCAGAGCCUGCCUCUGAAACUGGAAGACUUGAGGGCAGGAGAGGGGAGUGGAAUUCCCAGUGUAGCGGUGAAAUGCGUAGAUAUUGGGAGGAACACCAGUGGCGAAGGCGACUCUCUGGCCUAACCCUGACGCUGAGGCGCGAAAGCGUGGGGAGCAAACGGGAUUAGAUACCCCGGUAGUCCUGGCCGUAAAC
rnacentral:rRNA from 1 species